GCCUUUGAUGAUACAAUCCAACUUUCUGAGAUGUUGUGAAGUCAAGACCCUGUUUCAGGGAGAACCUACUUGGUGGAAUAACAUUUGUACGAGUUAUAUGGAUUUCGCUGAGGU